AUAAAGCAGCCAGGAUGGUCCAACCAGAGCGUGUCCUUUAAGUUCUUGGACAGCAGGCACAGUCACCAUGGACAAGCUACCACAUAGACUUCAUACUCUGCGUUCCAGUCCAGGGACUUGAGCAUGACGUGGUCACUGCCGGAUGGGAGCCUGAUUUCCGGUUUCCACUCAGAGGCGAGCUUCUGGGAGCAGUCGGCAGGAAGGACAGAAGACACCAGGGAAGGUAAAAAGGGCUUGCAAGUGGGAAACAUCUAGAGAACCCAGGAGCAGCAUGGGGGUCGAGGGGCAGAGCGCUCUCUCUCACACUCCCAUCCAUUCCCUAAGCUAUGCGGAUUCAGCACAGGUGCUGACUGGCUGCAUGGAGAUGCAACCACCACUGCUAUUCCAGGGCCAGUAGAGGAGGAAAAAGAAGAUGAGACAACCAGCCAGGCACUGAUAUUUACUAAGGCAUCAUGAGUCUGGAGCUGUUUCGAGGAUAAAGCAGUGUAUAGACAGUCAGUGUGCUCCCGGUACACUUUGCAUGCUGAUGGAGACUGGAGGUAGUUGUUGGACAGGACUAUGAACCGGACUGGAAGAGACAAGAGGCAGGUUCAUCCAAGAAUGACAUCUCGGCCUUUGUGUUUCCAGAUGAUGGUUGGAGGCAGGGAGCUGACCACAUCACAGACAAUCACAGCAUCCUCCCCUUCCUUAAACUCCUGUGGGGUUGGUGCAUUCUUGAACAUGAGCUUCUCUGAAAGAUAGCAGGAGGAGCAGAGUGAGGAACAAACACCCUCUCAGUAGAACUCUGAUGCCUGGAUUUCAGCUCCAGGGCAGUUUCCAUGUAUAACUCAGCAAUGUAAGAGGGACUCCCACUUAGCACUGGGUCACUAUCUGAGGCAGAACAGUUAGCAUUGAGAGGGGUCUAUGGAGGGGAGUAGGUUCCCUGAUGUAGUGACGAUGCACACAGCUACAGUGAUGAGCCCUGCAUCUAUCUUACCAUGACCAUAAGGGUCAUUGAUCAUUUUUGGUCUCCUACUCUGUCCUCUCCCCAAUUUUCCUGUAGCAGCGAAAAUUCUGAAGAAUGAGAGUCAACUUCAUGGCAGUUAAUGCUCUGGCAAUCAACACUUACUUACCAUGACUUGAGCCAACACUAUGCACAGUAAGAACUUACAUGGCCAUGGGAGCCACCUUCCCCAACCAGCAUCAAGUGUUGACAUAUAAUACUACAUCUUACUAGGUCAUUGGGCUAUAUCACUAGCCAAAUAUAGUGGGAUAAGAAGCAAAAACCUGAACCUG